rnacentral:lncRNA from 1 species
AAUAACAAGGUGAACUUUCUUUUGUGGACUUUAUCUCUGGCACAAUACGCGGGGACUCAGGUGACAAUGAGUAGGUGUAUUUCGUCCAGACUCGUGUUCUUCUUGUUCAUGUCGUGUUCCUACCAUGUUAGUAUGUGACCCUCAACCUGUUCGAUAUGGUGAGUUGCAAGAUAGCGGGAGGAUGCCGGUGGCAGCGGAAAGAGCAGGCCGGUGAGGAGGGAAAGCAACACGGGAAUGUAUAUAUUUCUUCACAUGAACUUCACUAUUUUGCAACAUGUAUUCCAUUUUCACGGAUUAUUCUUUUGUACUUUUGUUUUUAUCUAAUCCAUUCCAACCUUUUAACUGAUGAUGUUUGAUUCACUACUAUUUUGGUUGAUGAUAGAUUAAGAAGGAUAUGAUUAUGAAGCUUGUGCUUCUUC